rnacentral:tRNA from 2 species
GGAGGCGUAUUCGGUCUGGUGACCGGCACGAUCUUCAAAAUCGCUGAGCGGCAGUUGCUGUCGCUGGCGGGUUCGAUUCCCGUCCGCCUCCGCCA